CCCCUACACGACCGUACCGCAAACCGACACUGGUGCGCGAGAUGAGUAUUCUAAGGCGCUUGAGAGAACUCAGGAGAAGGAACUCGGCAAAUUGACACCGUAACUUCGGAAGAAGGUGUGCCUUUAGUAGGUGAACCUGUACAAGGGGAGCCCAAUGAGGUUGCAAAAAAUCGGUGGCUGCGACUGUUUAAUAAAAACACAGCACUCUGCAAACACGAAAGUGGACGUAUAGGGUGUGACGCCUGCCCGGUGCUGGAAGAUUAAAUGAUGGGGUGCAAGCUCUUGAUUGAAGUCCCAGUAAACGGCGGCCGUAACAAUAACGGUCCUAAGGUAGCGAAAUUCCUUGUCGGGUAAGUUCCGACCUGCACGAAUGGCGUAACGAUGGCCACACUGUCUCCUCCUGAGACUCAGCGAAGUUGAAAUGUUUGUGAUGAUGCAAUCUCCCCGCGGAAAGACGGAAAGACCCCAUGAACCUUUACUGUAGCUUUGUAUUGGACUUUGAACAGAUCUGUGUAGGAUAGGUGGGAGGCUUUGAAGUGUGGUCGCUAGAUCGCAUGGAGCCAACGUUGAAAUACCACCCUGGUGUGUUUGAGGUUCUAACCUAGGCCCGUAAUCCGGGUCGGGGACAGUGCAUGGUAGGCAGUUUGACUGGGGCGGUCUCCUCCCAAAGCGUAACGGAGGAGUUCGAAGGUACGCUAGGUACGGUCGGACAUCGUGCUAAUAGUGCAAUGGCAUAAGCGUGCUUAACUGCGAGACUGACAAGUCGAGCAGAUGCGAAAGCAGGACAUAGUGAUCCGGUGGUUCUGUAUGGAAGGGCCAUCGCUCAACGGAUAAAAGGUACUCUGGGGAUAACAGGCUGAUACCGCCCAAGAGUUCAUAUCGACGGCGGUGUUUGGCACCUCGAUGUCGGCUCAUCUCAUCCUGGGGCUGUAGCCGGUCCCAAGGGUAUGGCUGUUCGCCAUUUAAAGAGGUACGUGAGCUGGGUUUAAAACGUCGUGAGACAGUUUGGUCCCUAUCUUCCGUGGGCGCUGCAGAUUUGAGGAAGCCUGCUCCUAGUACGAGAGGACCGGAGUGGACACACCUCUGGUGUAUCGGUUGUCACGCCAGUGGCAUUGCCGAGUAGCUAUGUGUGGAAGAGAUAACCGCUGAAAGCAUCUAAGCGGGAAACUCGUUUCAAGAUGAGAUCUGCCGGGGCCUUGAGCCCCCUAAAGAGUCGUUCAAGACCAGGACGUUGAUAGGUCGGGUGUGGAAGCGCAGUAAUGCGUUAAGCUAACCGAUACUAAUUGCUCGUGCGGCUUGACC
rnacentral:rRNA from 1 species